UGUUUCGGCAAGGGGGUCAUCCCGACUUACCAACCCGAUGCAAACUGCGAAUACCGGAGAAUGUUAUCACGGGAGACACACGGCGGGUGCUAACGUCCGUCGUGAAGAGGGAAACAACCCAGACCGCCAGCUAAGGUCCCAAAGUCAUGGUUAAGUGGGAAACGAUGUGGGAAGGCCCAGACAGCCAGGAUGUUGGCUUAGAAGCAGCCAUCAUUUAAAGAAAGCGUAAUAGCUCACUGGUCGAGUCGGCCUGCGCGGAAGAUGUAACGGGGCUAAACCAUGCACCGAAGCUGCGGCAGCGACGCUGAUGCGUUGUUGGGUAGGGGAGCGUUCUGUAAGCCUGCGAAGGUGUGCUGUGAGGCAUGCUGGAGGUAUCAGAAGUGCGAAUGCUGACAUAAGUAACGAUAAAGCGGGUGAAAAGCCCGCUCGCCGGAAGACCAAGGGUUCCUGUCCAACGUUAAUCGGGGCAGGGUGAGUCGACCCCUAAGGCGAGGCCGAAAGGCGUAGUCGAUGGGAAACAGGUUAAUAUUCCUGUACUUGGUGUUACUGCGAAGGGGGGACGGAGAAGGCUAUGUUGGCCGGGCGACGGUUGUCCCGGUUUAAGCGUGUAGGCUGGUUUUCCAGGCAAAUCCGGAAAAUCAAGGCUGAGGCGUGAUGACGAGGCACUACGGUGCUGAAGCAACAAAUGCCCUGCUUCCAGGAAAAG
rnacentral:rRNA from 1 species